UCGAGCGGAUGAGAAGAGCUUGCUCUUCGAUUCAGCGGCGGACGGGUGAGUAAUGCCUAGGAAUCUGCCUGGUAGUGGGGGACAACGUUUCGAAAGGAACGCUAAUACCGCAUACGUCCUACGGGAGAAAGCAGGGGACCUUCGGGCCUUGCGCUAUCAGAUGAGCCUAGGUCGGAUUAGCUAGUUGGUGAGGUAAUGGCUCACCAAGGCGACGAUCCGUAACUGGUCUGAGAGGAUGAUCAGUCACACUGGAACUGAGACACGGUCCAGACUCCUACGGGAGGCAGCAGUGGGGAAUAUUGGACAAUGGGCGAAAGCCUGAUCCAGCCAUGCCGCGUGUGUGAAGAAGGUCUUCGGAUUGUAAAGCACUUUAAGUUGGGAGGAAGGGCAUUAACCUAAUACGUUAGUGUUUUGACGUUACCGACAGAAUAAGCACCGGCUAACUCUGUGCCAGCAGCCGCGGUAAUACAGAGGGUGCAAGCGUUAAUCGGAAUUACUGGGCGUAAAGCGCGCGUAGGUGGUUUGUUAAGUUGGAUGUGAAAGCCCCGGGCUCAACCUGGGAACUGCAUCCAAAACUGGCAAGCUAGAGUACGGUAGAGGGUGGUGGAAUUUCCUGUGUAGCGGUGAAAUGCGUAGAUAUAGGAAGGAACACCAGUGGCGAAGGCGACCACCUGGACUGAUACUGACACUGAGGUGCGAAAGCGUGGGGAGCAAACAGGAUUAGAUACCCUGGUAGUCCACGCCGUAAACGAUGUCNACUAGCCGUUGGAAUCCUUGAGAUUUUAGUGGCGCAGCUAACGCAUUAAGUUGACCGCCUGGGGAGUACNGCCGCAAGGNUAAAACUCAAAUGAAUUGACGGGGGCCCGCACAAGCGGNGGANCAUGUGGUUU
rnacentral:rRNA from 1 species